rnacentral:rRNA from 1 species
GAUGAACGCUGGCGGCGUGCCUAAUACAUGCAAGUUGAACGCUGAAGGAAGGAGCUUGCUCUUUCCGGAUGAGUUGCGAACGGGUGAGUAACGCGUAGGUAACCUGCCUGGUAGCGGGGGAUAACUAUUGGAAACGAUAGCUAAUACCGCAUAACAGUAGAUGUUGCAUGAUAUCUACUUAAAAGGUGCAAUUGCACCACUACCAGCUGGACCUGCGUUGUAUUAGCUAGUUGGUGAGGUAACGGCGCACCAAGGCGACGAUACAUAGCCGACCUGAGAGGGUGAUCGGCCACACUGGGACUGAGACACGGCCCAGACUCCUACGGGAGGCAGCAGUAGGGAAUCUUCGGCAAUGGACGGAAGUCUGACCGAGCAACGCCGCGUGAGUGAAGAAGGUUUUCGGAUCGUAAAGCUCUGUUGCAAGAGAAGAACGAGUGUGAGAGUGGAAAGUUCACACUGUGACGGUAUCUGACCAGAAAGGGACGGCUAACUACGUG